GAUGAAGAACGCAGCGAAAUGCGAUACUUGGUGUGAAUUGCAGAAUCCCGUGAACCAUCGAGUCUUUGAACGCAAGUUGCGCCCGAAGCCAUCAGGUUGAGGGCACGUCUGCCUGGGCGUCACAUAUCGUUGCUCGAUGCCUAUCGCAUUGCGAUAGGACUUAGGGCGAAUGAUGGCUUCCCGUGAGCGUUGUUGCCUCGCGGUUGGUUGAAAAUCGAGUCCUUGGUAGGGUGUGCCAUGAUAGAUGGUGGUCGAGGUAGCGCGAGACCGAUCAUGUGCAUGCUCCCCAAAAUAUGGCCUCUGUGACCCACACGCGUCUUUUGACGCUCAUGACGAGACCUCAGGUCAGGCGGGGCUACCCGCUGAAUUUAAGCAUAUCAAUAAGCGGAGGA
rnacentral:misc_RNA from 1 species